UUUGAAACAUUGUCCAUACCGUUUUUUUACGACGGCAUCGCCCGCCAUGUUAUCUAUAAUUCGGUAUCGAUUACGUAUCAUUAUGCGAAUAUUUAACAAGUACCUAUCCGUCCAACAAUACUCGGCGAGUAACCCAGCACGUUUUUCAUAUUAAAAUACAUACAAAUACCGGGAAAUGAUUAUACGGGGCCCACUAUUAAACGCAAACGACGAUAAACGUUCGUGUAAGUACUCGAGAAAUCACAAAACUAUAAGUUAUUUGAGGGGAGAAUAGGAAAAAAAACAAUCGCGUAAUGGAAAAUUAAUGUUCGUAAUUUAAACUAUAUUAUGUAUUAUU